AGGACGAACGCUGGCGGCGUGCUUAACACAUGCAAGUCGAGCGGAAAGGCCUUUCGGGGUACUCGAGCGGCGAACGGGUGAGUAACACGUGAGUAAUCUGCCCAUCGCUUCAGGAUAGCCAUCGGAAACGGUGAUUAAUACUGGAUAUGACAUUCCUUCGCAUGUUGGGGUGUGGUAAAGUUUUUUCGGCGGUGGAUGUGCUCGUGGCCUAUCAGUCUUGUUGGUGGGGUAAUGGCCUACCAAGGCUUUGACGGGUAGCCGGCCUGAGGAGGGUGACCGGCACACUGGGACUGAGACACGGCCCAGACUCCGUACGGGAGGCAGCAGGUGGGGAAUAUUGGACAAGUGGGCGGAAGCCUGAUCCAGCCAAGGCCGCGUGGAGGAGUGACGGUCCGUUCGGUUACGGUUAACCGUACUUUC
rnacentral:rRNA from 1 species